GCCUUCGUGGUGUAGUGGUCAGCACGCUCGACGCGUAACCGAGAGGUCCGUGGUUCGAUUCCCGGGGAACGCG
rnacentral:tRNA from 1 species